AUUGGUAGAAAAUAGUCAGCGAGUGAUAAUCAUAGGUAAGGUGGCUGAGUAGGCGGUAAAUUGUAAAUUUAUUCACAAGAUUAGUAUCUUCCUUAUCAAGUUAAAGUCCAGAAUAUCAUCAAACUGCAAAUUUGAAGAAGGGUAGGAUUACCCCUGGGCUU
rnacentral:tRNA from 1 species